CUCAGGUUCCUGUUCGUGGCUGUCAUGAAUAGACCCUUAUGUGACUGUAGCCUGUCCACUUCAAGUAUGCAGACCUGUUGUGCAGGAGGUCAUAGAGGUAAUGAAGACCAAGUGAACAUCAUCUGUAUCAGACUGUCUGCAGCCUGCAUGUGUUCAUAAUAGAGUGGCAAAUGCGGCGUUUAGGACUGAACCGUGUUACCAGCUUAUUAUGGCCAUUAUACAAAUAAAUUGAAAUGACUUGAGAUGUGUGUGAAAUGCAAGUGCAGGAAGGCCGUGAUGUUCCUGUGUGGGUGUUGCAGAGCUCAAACACAUGCCAGCAAUUGUUCUCGCAGCUGCACCUUUAUUGUUAAUGUCAACCAAAGAACAAUGACAGAUGUAACACUGAGCAAGCCUCAGCUGCACCCCACACCUGCUAGUGCUUUUAAGGCACAGUAAAUUCAUACAGCAUCCAUUAGGGGCCAUCUAUAUACAACUGUCGACAACAAUGAAUUCUAACCUUAAAUGAACUGAAUGUGGAGUAGGAUGUUAAAAAAUGCACGUGCUAUGGCUUUGUGGUUUGUGGCCUAAUGUCCACAAACUUUUGUCCAUACAAUGUAGCUAGCAAAGCUAAUACAAAAAACAGACAUUUACUUUUAAAAUGAAAAAUAAAAUGACCAAAGGACCUUUCAAGUUUUGCAAACAUUUGUCUGUCCGCACUAACAACAUGGUGCUAUCUGGAGUUGCAAUAAAUGGAGGUUUUCUCAUCACAGUGCAAACCAAAAAUAAUUUUGCACACCUAAUAUCUAACCUGGCACUCGAUACCUCCACAGUGCAUGAAAAGUAACACUGUAAGAUGCCUUUCUGGGCACUGAGAAAGCUGAUAUUUGUGCGUUCAUAAAAUGGUAGCAGCUGUGAAAGUGGAAUACUUCAAAUGUGCAAUAUAAAUCACAUAGCAUCAAAACAUAAACAUCUGAACUAUAAAAAAAAGAAAAACUACACAGAAUUAACUUAGAUGUGUGUUUUUCCAUUUUAACAUUCGUAAUCAAUUAUAACAGUCAUCGAAUUAUUAUUAGAACAUGCUUCAGUUCAGUGAAGCGUUAGCUCCUCUCUAAUUUCCACCUGACUGUUGGCUCAGGGAUCUUUAGACCAAGAUUUAUUGACGUCACAGUUUAAUAAAAACAUAAGGGAUGUACUGUACGUGACAUAAUUGGAAAACAUAAAAAUGUAUGAAUUAAUAGCUUGUUCUCCUUGUAUUCUUGUUGCCUUCCAACAUGCUAGUCGGUGGAUUUGCUAUACUUUAAAGAGCCCAUUCUAUGACAUUGCUCCUGUUCACAAAUCCACUUUGGCAAGUAUAGGGUAGAAGAAAUUGACCUUAAUGCAAAACCUUCUCCCCUGACAUUAGUACUUGGUUUCACUAAGCUUUUGUGGGACAAUAGACAAAAAUCUCUAAAGCCGUGUUCCAAAAACAGGUGGAAAAACCUUCCUUGAAGUUGUCUACGUAUACUAUUGUCCACACAUUUUUUGGCCAAACAGUCAAUGAAUAAGAUGGAAAUAUGUGUGUACAGUGGACAGACUUUUCCAACAGCAUUAUAUUAUUCUUAGUAAUCCUGAGCUAAGCUCCACCUUCACUUCAACCCAAACCAGGACAAAAACAUGGCUACAUUUUUAUUAGUUUUUUAUUCAUUCAUUCAUUCAUUUUCAGCAAUGUGUCACAGUUGGUUCUUUUGCCAAUGCACAGCCCCAGGGUCCACAGGUUCAAUCCUGAGUCACAUUCCAAGAACGUUCCAGUUGUGUGUGAAUGUGUAUGAAUGAAUGCAUGUGGUGCCUUGUGAUGAGCUGGCAUCCCAACUGGGUGUAUUCCCAGAGAGCGUUUCAGGGCUCCGGAUUUGGCAUGGCCUUUACUGCAAUAAUGUGGUUACUGAAGACAAGAACAAAAAUGUUUAGAAUAAGCCAUUAGACACAGAAUAGAGUUAGCUUGCAAUGAAAUGUAAAGUCAUCAUGCUAGUUUGCUAAUGUUUGCUAACUUUAUGCUACAAGAAUGUGAAAAUCUCUUAUGCAGUAAUUUACAAAAUACAAUAAAAUAAUAUAAUUAUAUUGUAAUGUUAAAAUUGCCUAACCGUUUUAAUUGUUUAGAGUACCUAUAGACCAUGAAAAAAAGAUUAGACAAUUGAAAUAUAAAACUUUCAUAUCAGCUUGUGCCUCUGGCUGUGAACUUGUGCUAACAUUUCUGGCUGCCAAUAGUUGAUCCGCUUCUCAGUGUGGAUUUCAGCUUACAGUGGGGUUUUGUGAGGCUUGUACAGUUACGGGUGCAUGAAAAUAGCAUGGGAAUCUAACCACUACACUUACCUUAGCAAUCUGGAAACGAGUG